AGGAGCAGGAGGGUGUUAUGCUGUGAGAAGCAUCUUUUUUUUGCUAGUGCUUUCUAAUGGAAUAAAUGUGCGCCUCCUGCGGCUGACCUAAUAACAAAACAAUGUCCAAAGUGAAGGCCAGAAAAGACAAAUUACAGAAAUAAAGAAGGGUGACUCCAGUCUGGACAUACUGUUUCUAAAUAAGCCACAUUGUUCCUCUCUAUGGGUCAGCUCCACCAGACAGUUGUUUUUCUUUGUCAGAAUCACCUAUCACUUAUUACACUACUCAGCUGCAUCAGCAGCGCACCCAAAGCCUGGCACCUUUAGUAAUGUACCUAUAGCGCAUUAAAAUGAAACGAAGUGCCAGUAUCAGUAUCAUGCUGACCACAAAGGCAAGUUCCA